AUACGUAGGGUGCAAGCGUUAAUCGGAAUUACUGGGCGUAAAGCGUGCGCAGGCGGUUUUGUAAGACAGUGGUGAAAUCCCCGGGCUCAACCUGGGAACUGCCAUUGUGACUGCAAGGCUGGAGUGCGGCAGAGGGGGAUGGAAUUCCGCGGGGAGCAGUGAAAUGCGUAGAUAUGCGGAGGAACACCGAUGGCGAAGGCAAUCCCCUGGGCCUGCACUGACGCUCAUGCACGAAAGCGUGGGGAGCAAACAGGAUUAGAUACCCUGGUAGUCCACGCCCUAAACGAUGUCAACUGGUUGUUGGGGAUUUAUUUUCUCAGUAACGAAGCUAACGCGUGAAGUUGACCGCCUGGGGAGUACGGCCGCAAGGUUAAAACUCAAAGGAAUUGACGGGG
rnacentral:rRNA from 1 species